CUGGGGGCUUUAAACAGUCAGAUGCGUCGGGUUGAGGGCGCUGACGGGACCGAGGGGCGGUUGGGUCUCUUUGGGUUAGGGGGUCCUCUGAGGACGAGCAGCGGCAAUGCUGAAAGCCCCUCGCGGGCGUGGAGCGGGCUCUGCCAGGGCGCUUGCAGGCUCUGCCUUUUCUGCUUUUUUUGAAGCGAUAAAGUCUUUAGAGCCCAGAUCGAGGGAAAUAUUUGCUUGGGGAGCUCUCGGUCGACGUGCUCAAACCAGGUUCAGUGGCGGUGGCUUGGCGGCUUGUUUAGCCUCAUGCCUUUAAAGCUUCUGAGGCCAAGAAGAUCCCUACGAGCCGCUGGAGUCGCAAAGGAGGAGUCCGCAACCCUAUUUUCUGCAGUGGGGAAAAGAGGGAGCAGCAGUGGAGGAACGUUUGCGUUCUUUUCAGUGCUUGCUGUUUAAACUGAUAAUGGCUUUUAAGCUUCCCCUUAGUGUGGGCCCCAGCACACCUGUAGGAGAACGGUUACUUCUGCUUUGCUCUCUUUAACAAAAUACUCUUCUUGCCUGUGUUUCCUUGUGAUGGUUUCCGCCGCUCACGGUGGCCGCGGGAAGCCGUCCCGGCGAUGCCACCUCAGUGCUCCUGCUCGCUGGGCUGCUGUGUGCAGCUGAGCCUGCGCUGGAGGUGCCGUGGGACAGGAGGCAGUGGACGUGAGGAGAGCGACGUGCUUGUCAACAGUUACCAAAUUUCAUGUCGCGUCCAAGGGAGAUGUAAGUGUUCCCCGCUCUCACCCAGACCACCACCAACCUGCGAGGCAGCUGCGUGCAUGGCAGAGACUACUGGAGUUCAGGUUGGAGCCUGGCUUUGAGAGCAGAAGCAAAGAAGAACAAACUGUUCAAAGCCUUAUGACAGAUCAAAGCUGUGCUUAUAUAUGUUGGAUUUCUUUUUUCCUUGGAUGUGCAAUGAUUCUUGAGGUUAUGUCUUGGGCACUAGAGCUUCAGUUAUUUCUCAUCUGCAGCAUAUCCGAGUAAGGAAUUGCCCAUCAGGCAGACAGAUCAUCGGGUGCAUAAUGCAAGCAAAAUGAAUCUCUCUGUGCUCUGAUGUGAAUAGGCUGCAUUUCAUAAUGAGGAAUAAUCUGGUACAGAUACUUCAUGGAGCUGGCUCGCUAUAUGCGCUUGCAAUGGUAAAGCCAAGACCUAAAAUAAGCAGUGGGUAUAGAACACAGUACGUUGACUUUGCAGUAAGGGAAGAAGACCAGCAAAGGAAGUGGAACUGUUUAGUGCUGGCACUACCCUAAAAAGCUGGGCUGUUGUGGCAGAUGGACAGUGUCAUCGGUAUCUAAUGCAGCCUCCCAGGCAUGGAGCUAGAAGGACAAAGCCGGGAAGGAGAAGAAUCAACCUCACAAGUUUGAUUUUAUGGGAGCAGCCGGCAAACGGCAAUAAGAGUUUGGCUGUUGACUAUUAGGAACUGUGAAGUUAGUCAACAUGGACUUGGAGCGAGUGCUAUAUUAAAUAGAUGUUCAAACCAGAAUUGCCUACAUACGCUGAAUGAGGAUUCUGAUUGGGAAAUACCUGCCAAAAAAACGGGUGGUGGAAGUUGAAUAACAAACCACCCAUGCCGCUAAUAGUGCUGCAAUGCUAUCUUCGAAACAGGCUUAAGGAAUUCACUGUAAAGAUGUGGUGCAGGUAGGAACCUGCCAUAGACAGUUUAUUUGCUGGAGACAAAUGGUCAUGAUUCUGGUAUACAGCAUGGUAGCGCCUCAGCAAAAGAAAAUGGAGAGAGGAUUAAUGCAAAUGCUAGAGGUCUUUGCAAAGGACCCAAACUGUUUACAACUGGAGUGUGUUUAGCUGCAGGCUGCCAAUGUGAAACUGAACUCAGAGGCACCCAUUUUUUUUUUGGUGUGAGGUAACUC
ensembl:lncRNA